UUCUAGGGGGACAGAUUGGUCCACUAUUCAGAGAUUUCUAGGGGGACAGAUUGGCCCACUAUCCAGUCAGUGUUAAGAACAGAUUGGCCCACUAUUCAGUCAAGAGUUUUAGGGGGACAUAUUGGCCCACUAUUCAGUCAAGAGUUCUAGGGGGACAGAUUGGCCCACUAUUCAGUCAAGAGUUUUAGGGGGACAGAUUGGCCCACUAUUCAGUCAAGAGUUUUAGGGGGACAUAUUGGCCCACUAUUCAGUCAAGAGUUCUAGGGGGACAGAUUGGACCACUAUUCAGUCAAGAGUUUUAGGGGGACAGAUUGGUCCACUACUCAGUCAAGAGUUUUAGGGGGGACAGAUUGGUCCACUAUUCAGAGAGUUUUAGGGGGACGGAUUGGUCCACUAUUCAGUCAAGAGUUUUAGGGGGACAGAUUGGCCCACUAUUCAGUCCGGAGUUUUAGGGGACAGAUUGGCCCACUAUUAAGCCAGAGUUCUAGGGGGACAGAUUGGCCUACUAUUCAGUAAGAGUUUUAGGGGGACAGAUUGGCCCACUAUCCAGUCAGUGUUUUAGGGGAACAGAUUGACCCAUUAAUCAGUCACAGUUCUAGGGGGACAGAUUGGUCCACUAUUCAGAGAUUUCUAGGGGGACAGAUUGGCCCACUAUCCAGUCAGUGUUAAGAACAGAUUGGCUGACUAUCCAGUCAGUGUUUUGGACAGAUUGGCCCACUAUCCAGUCAGUGUUAAGAACAGAUUGGCCCACUAUUCAGUCAAGAGUUUUAGGGGACAAAUUGGCCCACUAUUCAGUCAGAGUUUUAGGGGGACAAAUUGGCCCACUAUUAAGUCAGAGUUUUAGGGGGACAGAUUGGCCCACUAUUUAGUCAGAGUUUUAGGGGGACAGAUUGGCCCACUAUUUAGUCAGAGUUUUAGGGGGACAGAUUGGCCCACUAUUCAGUCAGAAGUUAAGGGAACAUGUUUUUCUUUUCAAUAACAUAUUUUGGAUGAUCAAAAGUCAAAUGUAGAUCUUGUUAUUGCAUUGUACAGUAUCUUCUGAUAUUUUCCAUUGAUACUUCAUGUAUUGACUAUUUGGGACUGAGAGGAAAUGCUUUGUUUGCAUUGCAUUAUUUUUGUCUACGGUUUUGUUGUCAAUAAUGUUUUCUGUGAUUUUUGAACGGAAAGGAAAUGGGAUGUUAUGGUCUUAAUUGUUAUAAUAAAGACUUUGAAAAGAUGUUAAUUUAAAACUUGCAAAAUUUCUGCUUGUAUUCCAUUUUUAAAAUUGCCAUAUUUUAGAGUUGUAAUUGUUUACAUAGUUUGGAGGUUGGUGUAGCUUGCAUUAUUGUUAUGGAAGAGCAGAAAACUCUAUGUGCAUGCAAAGUGUUGUUUGUUGUUCAUGUAUAAAAGUCUUAAAUUUUAAUGUGAAGGAUUCACUGUAGUUAUAAAGACUAACCUCCAUGUGAUCUAGGUUUUUCGACACAUGUGUAAGGUAAUGUGGGCAUCUGUUUCUGCUUGAGCUCACAACAGCUCACAAGGUUUAUAUCUUUUUCAAAGUACAACUUUUUUGCAAGGGUUGGGAUUUUAAAAUAAUACCAAUGCUGUAUUGAUUUUUAGUGAAAAUAUUAUAUCAUUGAAACUGCGAUGUCACCUGGUUGUGGUCUAAAUUUCACUUUUACCACCUCAACAGUUGUUUUCAGAAAAUAGGAAUUAUCAGAUGAUUAUUUGGUAAAAUCAUACAUUAGGAUUUACUCAGUCAUGUACAAAAAAUCUAUGAUAUGAUUUAACAAAACAAUACAAUACAAAAGGAAUAAAUUAUCAAAGAUUACUGAAGAUCUUUUUUCUUCUCCAAAGAAUUAUUUUAUGAAAACUUCAAUUCAUAAUAGAAACUCCUUUCAUAUAACCUUUUUCACCGAAAACAAAAUUAUAGCUGUCUCAGUACAGAUUAAACUAAAGAGAAACUCGGAUCUGUUUUAAUACAAAAUCCAGUACAAUCUGGACUCUUUCAAUCUCCGAUCAUUCAUUUUUCAAAGAGUUGAUUUAUAUGAAAAGCUUAUAACAUUCCUGAAGUUAAACGAAGUAAUUACACAUUUAUUGGUAAGACUUUAGUAAGUAUCCGAUAGUGAUAUAACAUGACAUUGUAGAAUUGAACUUUCAUGUAUAUUGACAGCACAGUGGCAUUUCACUUUUAAGUACGAUAUACAAAAUUGCAUUACAAUAUAACUUGACUUCAGUGAACUAGAGUUUCGUCGAUCAUUUUGAGCAUUGGCAUGCAUCUUUAGUAUUUGUUUUAAAGGAUCAAGAAAGACACAAAGUUAUUGUAUGUCUGAAGUACUUGUACUGCUUUCUUAAUGAUUAGCCUCCAGGUAUGUUAAUGAUAUGGUGUAGCACAUUAUUCUUUAAAUGUUAUCAGAAAUUUUGACAUGCAAAAAUCAAUUACAUAUGAAAUUGUUUUGACAAUAUGAUAGAUAUUUAACUUCAUUUGAACAAAAGAUUGUCCCUAAAAUCCUCACUCUAAUAUCUGUGCUGAAAUACCUGGGGGCGAGUUAGUUUAAAACCUCACUAUUACAUCUGUGCUGAAAUACCUCGGGGCGAGUUAGGGGAAAACCUCACUAUAACAUCUGUGCUGAAAUACCUGGGGGCGAGUUAGGGGAAAACCUCACUAUUACAUCUGUGCUGAAAUACCUCGGGGCGAGUUAGGGGAAAACCUCACUAUAACAUCUGUGAUGAAAUACUUGGGGGCGAGUUAGGUUAAAACCUCACUAUAACAUGUGUCUAAAUACCCUGGAGAUAGAUGAAAUACCCGGGAGCUAGGUAAGGUUCAAUACCCCGGAGUUAGGUUAAAUACCUGGGAGUUCGGUGAAAUAUUGGGGAGUUAGGUAAAAUACCUGGGAGUUUGGUAAAAUACCUGGGAGCUUGGUGAAAUACCCGUGAGUUUGGAGUUAGAUGAAAUUCUGGAAAGUUAUGUGAAAUACUCAGAAAGUUAUGUGAAAUACCUGGGAGUUAUGUGUAAUACUUGGGAGUAAUGUGAAUCACGGUAGUUAAAUUAAAUACCUGGUAGUGAGGUGAAAUACCCAGUAGUUAAAUUAAAUACCUGGUAUUAAGGUGAAAUACCUGGUAGUUAAAUUAAAUACCUGGUAGUAAGGUGAAAUACCCGGUAGUUAAAUUAAAUACCUGGUAGUAAGGUGAAAUACCCGGUAGUUAAAUUAAAUACCUGGUAGUAAGGUGAAAUACCAGGUAGUUAAAUGAAAUACCUGGUAGUAAGGUGAAAUACCCGGUAGUUAAAUUAAAUACCUGGUAGUGAGGUGAAAUACCCGGUAGUUAAUUAAAUACCUGGUAGUAAGGUGAAAUACCCGGUAAUUGAAUUAAAUACCCAGGAGUAAGGUGAAAUACCCAGGAGUUAGGUGAAAUAUCUAGGAGUUCGGUGAAAUACCCAGGCGUUAGGUGAAAUACCCGGGAGUUAGAUGAAAUACCCAGGAGUUGGGUGAAAUACCCAGGAGUUCGUUAAAAACAGGUCAGUAUUUGAGUCCUAAUUCAAUGUUAUGGAUUCGUAUUCUUGUGCUUUAUUGUAAGUGUAAAAGUAUAGUUGUUAUUUGUUUCUAAAGUGAUCCAAUAAAAUGGUGCUCGUAAUGUCGUAGAACAUCA